rnacentral:snoRNA from 1 species
UAAAGCAUUAUACAGAUUUAAUGCAAUUCCUUAUCAAACUCUAGUGGUAUUUUUAAAAGAAAUACAACAUGUAUGUUAGUCUUAAGUUCUGAUUGAAAUGACAUGCAUUUGUGCUGCCAUUUUUUACUAUCAAGACUUGACUGUUGUGUGGACAGU